UCUGUAUAAGCUAAUCAUAAUUGCAGAAACUGAAAAUUCAAAAUGAAUGUUAAUUCAGACAGGAACUCAAAUAGUGAUAGACAAUUUACCUUGUUUAUCAGUUGCUGGCUCCGUUGGCUCAUAUAUUCCAUGUGGAUCCGACUCCUCAUCAUGGGCUGUUGGUGUGUGAUAGUUGAACUUGAUUGGAAGGUGUACAUGGUGAUCUUUGGCUUGAACCGCUGGAGUCCCUCACAAUGCCAGAUUGGUCUGAUAAGGUAAUGCUGAUGGGCCAUAUACCAUGCCGACAAAGAUGUUGAUUUUGUGUGAGGACAUGAUCACCGGCCUCAAAGAUUCAAGAUGAGCGAGGCGGUGAGGGUUGGCAAUCAAAUUCGUCAGAUUACACGUGUGCACCGUUGCUGACAUGCAGUUGCACAUGAGAGGUACAUAUGUGAUCAUAUUUUACCAGGUGAAGU